CUAAGAUUUACCUAUAAUUCUAAGUUCCAAAGUUAUUAAAUAGUUAUAUUGUAGUCAUCCAGGAUCAGUGAACAGUGAAUUUGAAGAAUUGUACCGCAUAAUGGAGUUCCACCCCGCAUCUACUAUGAAAUCUUAAAAAACAAAAACCACCUAACACCACCAGGGACAGACCACUCCUCGAGCAACAAUCACUGGACAACCAGCCUGGAUCAUUUCCAGUUGUUCUUCCUUUAAGUACCUCCAGCUGUUUCCACCAGCCUCCCUGUACCUCCUGCAGGACCGCUGCAAGCGAAAGUUAGCACCACUGGGUGCUCAUUACAUCAGCCAGACGAUUGUGUAAAAGGGGUUUGUUUGGGGACAUUUGGUGCGUUUUUAGUAAAGACAGACUGUUUUUUGUGAUAUUCAGGACAUAUUUUUUUUUAUAGUUUAAUUGCACACAAAUUUUUCCUGCUUCAUAUUUU